UACGGGAGGCAGCAGUGGGGAAUUUUGGACAAUGGGCGCAAGCCUGAUCCAGCAAUGCCGCGUGAGUGAAGAAGGCCUUCGGGUUGUAAAGCUCUUUCAGUCGAGAAGAAAAGGUUGUGACUAAUAAUCACAACUCAUGACGGUAUCGACAGAAGAAGCACCGGCUAACUACGUGCCAGCAGCCGCGGUAAU
rnacentral:rRNA from 1 species